UCUUAUGUACAUGCUUACAUCAAAGUGUUAGUGCAUCAUAUACCAUUAGAAAUCUAUAGUUAAGCGUGAUCAGGCUAGAGUAGUAUUGUUAUGGUUGACUGCCCAGGAAGUCCUAGUAUUUUACAUGCC
rfam:Picea glauca, whole genome shotgun sequence.